rnacentral:rRNA from 1 species
UACGUAGGGUGCGAGCGUUGCCCGGAUUUAUUGGGCGUAAAGAGCGUGUAGGCGGCCAGGUAGGUCUGGUGUGAAAAAUCUGGGCUCAACCCAGUGGAGCACCUGAUACUGCGGUGACUCGAGUCCGGUAGGGGAGUGUGGAAUUCCUGGUGUAGCGGUGAAAUGCGCAGAUAUCAGGAGGAACACCGACGGCGAAGGCAGCACUCUGGGCCGGUACUGACGCUGAGGAGCGAAAGCAUGGGGAGCGAACAGG